rnacentral:misc_RNA from 1 species
UACAGGUGGGCAAGUGGGAG